rnacentral:rRNA from 1 species
UACAGAGGUCUCAAGCGUUGUUCGGAUUCAUUGGGCGUAAAGGGUGCGUAGGUGGCGCCGUAAGUCGGAUGUGAAAUUUCGGAGCUUAACUCCGAAACUGCAUUCGAUACUGCGGUGCUUGAGGACUGGAGAGGAGACUGGAAUUCAUGGUGUAGCAGUGAAAUGCGUAGAGAUCAUGAGGAAGACCAGUGGCGAAGGCGGGUCUCUGGACAGUUCCUGACACUGAGGCACGAAGGCCAGGGGAGCAAAACGGG